UACGGAGGGUGCAAGCAUUAAUCGGAUUUAUUGGGCGUAAAGGGCGUGUAGGCGGUGAGAUAAGUCAAAUGUGAAAUCCCGGAGCUCAACUCCGGAACGGCAUUUGAAACUGUUUUACUCGAGGGUAGGCGGAGAAAAUGGAAUUCCACGUGUAGCGGUGAAAUGCGUAGAUAUGUGGAAGAACACCUGUGGCGAAAGCGGUUUUCUAGCUUACUCCUGACGCUGAGGCGCAAAAGCAAGGGGAGCAAACAGG
rnacentral:rRNA from 1 species